GCCCUAGUAACGGCGAGUGAAGCGGCAAAAGCUCAAAUUUGAAAUCUGGCCCUAGCGGUCCGAGUUGUAAUUUGCAGAGGAUGCUUUUGGUGCGGUGCCUUCCGAGUUCCCUGGAACGGGACGCCAUAGAGGGUGAGAGCCCCGUACGGUUGGAUACCUAGCCUCUAUAUAGCUCCUUCGACGAGUCGAGUAGUUUGGGAAUGCUGCUCUAAAUGGGAGGUAAAUUUCUUCUAAAGCUAAAUACCGGCCAGAGACCGAUAGCGCACAAGUAGAGUGAUCGAAAGAUGAAAAGCACUUUGAAAAGAGGGUUAAAUAGCACGUGAAAUUGUUGAAAGGGAAGCGUUUGCGACCAGACCUUCUCCAGGGGGAUCAACCGCUGUUCUCAGCGGUGCACUCCCCCUGGUUUAGGCCAGCAUCGGUUCUCUUAGGGGGAUAAAGGCCUGGGGAACGUAGCUCUUUAGGGAGUGUUAUAGCCCCUAGCGUAAUACCCUUCAGGGGACCGAGGACCGCGCUUCGGCAAGGAUGCUGGCGUAAUGGUCGUCAACGACCCGUCUUGAAACACGGACCAAGGAGUCGAACAUUUGUGCGAGUGUUUGGGUGUUAAACCCUCACGCGUAAUGAAAGUGAACGGAGGUGAGAGCCUUAGGGUGCAUCAUCGACCGAUCCUGAUGUCUUCGGAUGGAUUUGAGUAAGAGCAUAACUGUUCGGACCCGAAAGAUGGUGAACUAUGCGUGGAUAGGGUGAAGCCAGAGGAAACUCUGGUGGAGGCUCGCAGCGGUUCUGACGUGCAAAUCGAUCGUCAAAUCUGCGCAUGGGGGCGAAAGACUUAUCGAACCAUCUAGUAGCUGGUUACCGCCGAAGUUUCCCUCAGGAUAGCAGUGUUGUCUUCAGUUUUAUGAGGUAAAGCGAAUGAUUAGGGACUCGGGGGCGCUAUAUUGCCUUCAUCCAUUCUCAAACUUUAAAUAUGUAAGAAGCCCUUGUUACUUAGUUGAACGUGGGCAUUCGAAUGUACCAACACUAGUGGGCCAUUUUUGGUAAGCAGAACUGGCGAUGCGGGAUGAACCGAACGCGGGGUUAAGGUGCCAGAGUGGACGCUCAUCAGACACCACAAAAGGUGUUAGUACAUCUUGACAGCAGGACGGUGGCCAUGGAAGUCGGAAUCCGCUAAGGACUGUGUAACAACUCACCUGCCGAAUGUACUAGCCCUGAAAAUGGAUGGCGCUCAAGCGUCUCACCCAUACCUCGCCCU
rnacentral:rRNA from 1 species